rnacentral:piRNA from 1 species
UUUGGGAACAGAUGCUAUAUCUUCCAAAGC